rnacentral:lncRNA from 1 species
CCCAGAUGCCAGCAUGAAGGUGAAGCAGUGCUGGCAGAUUGUGUCAAGUUGACAUUUAGAAGGAACCAUCACAGAAUGAAGGAGAGCCUGUCAGACCUGGGAUUGAUGUCCUCUCCCAGACUGCAGAGGGAUUUUUAUCUUGAUUUCUCCAGAGGAUUCUGAGGAGCCAAUUUGGAAACGACUUAGAAGGACACCCCCUCAACCCCCACCCUGAAAGUGGUGUUCUGGAAGUAUGGCAGACAGAU